CUGACUCAGACUAGCCAUGCACGUCUAGUACAAACUAAAUGAUGGUGAAACUGCAAAUGGCUCAUUACAACGGUUAUGAUGUACCCGGGAGUUCCGAUGGAUAUUUCCAGUAACACUAGAACUAAUACAUGUCCCUGCGUUUAUUAGUUUCGCACAGUCCGUCGCUGAGUCAUGGUAAACAGUUGAUCGACUCGACGUCCCGGAACAGUUUCCGCCCCAUCAGCUUCGAUGGUUGGGUAUUGGCCUACCAUUGCAACAACGGGUAACGAGGAAUUAGGGUUUGAUUUCGGAGAGGGAGCCUGAGAAACGGCUACCACAUCUACGGAUGGCAGCAGGCGCGCAAAUUACCCAAUGCAGACACUGUGAGGUAGUGACGAGAAAUAAUAAAGCGGGACUUCUGUUUCGCUAUUAUAAUGAGGAAUAACCAAAGGUCAUUCCGAUUAGCAACUGAUGGGAAAGUCUGGUGCCAGCAGCCGCGGUAAUACCAGCGUCAGUAGCAU
rnacentral:rRNA from 1 species